rnacentral:rRNA from 1 species
GAUGAACGCUGGCGGCGUGCCUAAUACAUGCAAGUAGAACGCUGAAGGCGGAGCUUGCUCUUCUGGAUGAGUUGCGAACGGGUGAGUAACGCGUAGGUAACCUGCCUGGUAGCGGGGGAUAACUAUUGGAAACGAUAGCUAAUACCGCAUGACAACAGUUAUUGCAUGAUAACUGUUUAAAAGGUGCAACUGCUCCACUACCAGUUGGUCCUUCGUUGUAUUAGCUAGUUGGUGUGGUAACGGCUCACCAAGGCGACGAUACAUAGCCGACCUGAGAGGGUGGUGGGCCAAAAUGGGAAUGGGAAAAGGCCCAGACUCAUACGGGAGGCAGCAGGAGGGAAUCAGCGGCAAUGGAGGGAAGUCUGAACGAGAAACGCCGGGGGAGGGAAGAAGGUUGUCGGAGCGUAAAGCUAUGUUGUAAGAGAAGAACGAGUGUGAGAGUGGAAAGUUCACACAGUGACGGUAACUGACCAGAAAGAGACGGCUAACUACGUG